rnacentral:rRNA from 1 species
AUUGAACGCUGGCGGCAGGCCUAACACACGCAAGUCGAGCGGAUGAAGGGAGCUUGCUCCUGGAUUCAGCGGCGGACGGGUGAGUAAUGCCUAGGAAUCUGCCUGGUAGUGGGGGACAACGUUUCGAAAGGAACGCUAAUACCGCAUACGUCCUACGGGAGAAAGCAGGGGACCUUCGGGCCUUGCGCUAUCAGAUGAGCCUAGGUCGGAUUAGCUUGUUGGUGAGGUAAUGGCUCACCAAGGCGACGAUCCGUAACUGGUCUGAGAGGAUGAUCAGUCACACUGGAACUGAGACACGGUCCAGACUCCUACGGGAGGCAGCAGUGGGGAAUAUUGGACAAUGGGCGCAAGCCUGAUCCAGCCAUGCCGCGUGUGUGAAGAAGGUCUUCGGAUUGUAAAGCACUUUAAGUUGGGAGGAAGGGCAGUAGAUUAAUACUCUGCUGUUUUGACGUUACCAACAGAAUAAGCACCGGCUAACUCUGUGCCAGCAGCCGCGGUAAUACAGAGGGUGCAAGCGUUAAUCGGAAUUACUGGGCGUAAAGCGCGCGUAGGCGGCUAGGUAAGAUGGGUGUGAAAUCCCCGGGCUCAACCUGGGAACUGCAUCCAUAACUGCCUGGCUAGAGUACAGUAGAGGGUGGUGGAAUUUCCUGUGUAGCGGUGAAAUGCGUAGAUAUAGGAAGGAACACCAGUGGCGAAGGCGACCACCUGGACUGAUACUGACGCUGAGGUGCGAAAGCGUGGGGAGCAAACA